UACGAAGGGGCUAGCGUUGCUCGGAAUCACUGGGCGUAAAGCGCACGUAGGCGGAUCUUUAAGUCAGGGGUGAAAUCCUGGAGCUCAACUCCAGAACUGCCUUGAUACUGGGGAUCUCGAGUCCGGAAGAGGUGAGUGGAACUCCGAGUGUAGAGGUGAAAUUCGUAGAUAUUCGGAAGAACACCAGUGGCGAAGGCGAACUCACUGGACACAUAUGACGCUGAGG
rnacentral:rRNA from 1 species